ensembl:lncRNA
AAACAACUUAAUUUCAACGUACUUGCAGCCUGGACGCAGUAUAAUAAAUUGAGUCUAUAAUCAAUUUGAUUAACAAUCUGACAUCACUCCAGUAAUUUUUUUGACAACAUUCAAAUGCUAAUUGUCUUUAUUCCACUACUGAAGAAGCAUGUCUCAAAUCACCUCAUAUUUCAAACAUUCAGCCUGACAAAAGAUAUGUUUUAUUAUUCCAUGCCUCACCAUUAAGCGAAGUAUUGCCAACACAUAUUAACAAAGGGGGGAACAUUUGGUUUUGAUUUUCAUAUUUACAAUCAAUUUACUUAACAUUUAGUAAUCAUCAUUAUUUAUGCAUGUAUUCACAAUUAUGUAGCAUUUAGUAAUCAUAAUUAUUCAUGCAACCAGCUGACAGUUGGAGGUGUGAUGUAUUUAAUGGAGAUGGAGGUGUGUUCUAGUGGGUCUGGACAGGUGUGAUGUAGUUAAUGGAGAUGGAGGUGUGUUCUAGUGGGUCUGGGCAGGUGUGAUGUAGUUAAUGGAGAUGGAGGUGUGUUCUAGUGGGUCUGGGCAGGUGUGAUGUAGUUAAUGGAGAUGGAGGUGUGAUGAACUUCAUGUUUGUAUGAUGUUGUCGUUUGUAUGUUUUGUAUUGUUUAUAAAAAGAUAAAUAAAAUAUUUUUCCCAA